AUUGAACGCUGGCGGCAGGCCUAACACAUGCAAGUCGAACGAGUGGCGUACGUGUGACUAAUGUCUGUGACACUGCCUGAUGGAUGGGGCUCACUACUGGAAGCGAUAGCUAAUACCGCAUACCAUCAGAUGUGCCAAGCUGGUAUUAGCGAGUGGGGGGGGUAACGGCUCACCAAGGCGCCGAGCCGUAUCUGGUCUGAGAGGAUGACCAGCCACACUGGAACUGAGACACGGUCCAGACUCCUACGUGAGGCAGCAGUGGGGAAUAUUGGACAAUGGGCGAAAGCCGUAUGCAGCCAUGCCGCGUGUAUGAAGAAGGCCUUCGGGUUGUAAAGCACUUUCAGCGGGGAGGCGUUACCAGCAGAAGAAGCACCGGCUAACUCCGUGCCAGCAGCCGCGGUAAUUC
rnacentral:rRNA from 1 species